UACGUAGGGGGCGAGCGUUGUCCGGAGUUACUGGGCGUAAAGCGCACGCAGGCGGUCUGUGAAGUUUGGAGUGACAGUUGGUGGCUCAACCACCAAAGUGCUUUGAAAACUGACAGACUUGAGGGCUUCAGAGGGACACGGAAUUCCGGGUGGAGUGGUGAAAUGCGUAGAGAUCGGAAAGAACACCAACGGCGAAAGCACUCUGCUGGGCCGACACUGACACUGAGAGACGAAAGCUAGGGGAGCGAAUGGG
rnacentral:rRNA from 1 species